rnacentral:rRNA from 1 species
UACGGAGGGUGCAAGCGUUGUCCGGAAUCACUGGGCGUAAAGGGCGCGUAGGCGGCCUGGUAAGUAGGGGGUGAAAUCCUGCGGCUUAACCGCAGGGCUGCCUCCUAAACUGUCAGGCUUGAGCACGGUAGAGGCAGAUGGAAUUCCCGGUGUAGCGGUGGAAUGCGUAGAGAUCGGGAAGAACAUCAGUGGCGAAGGCGGUCUGCUGGGCCGUUGCUGACGCUGAGGCGCGACAGCGUGGGGAGCAAACGGG